rnacentral:rRNA from 1 species
GACGAACGCUGGCGGCGUGCUUAACACAUGCAAGUCGAGCGGUAAGGCCCUUCGGGGUACGACGAGCGGCGAACGGGUGAGUAACACGUGGGUGGACCUGCCUCUAGCUCUGGGAUAAGCCUGGGAAACUGGGUCUAAUACCGGAUAUGACUCCACGGCGCAUGUUGUGGGGUGGAAAGCCUUGUGUGGCUAGAGAUGGGCCCGCGGCCUAUCAGCUUGUUGGUGGGGUGAUGGCCUACCAAGGCGACGACGGGUAGCCGGCCUGAGAGGGCGACCGGCCACACUGGGACUGAGACACGGCCCAGACUCCUACGGGAGGCAGCAGUGGGGAAUCUUGCGCAAUGGGCGAAAGCCUGACGCAGCGACGCCGCGUGAGGGAUGACGGCCU